rnacentral:rRNA from 1 species
UACGGAGGGGGCUAGCGUUGUUCGGAAUUACUGGGCGUAAAGCGCGCGUAGGCGGUUUACCAAGUUGGGAGUGAAAUCCCAGGGCUUAACCCUGGAAUUGCUUUCAAAACUGGUAGGCUAGAGAUCGGUAGAGGAUAGCGGAAUUCCUAGUGUAGAGGUGAAAUUCGUAGAUAUUAGGAGGAACACCGGAGGCGAAAGCGGCUAUCUGGACCGAUUCUGACGCUGAGGCGCGAAAGCGUGGGGAGCAAACAGG